AAUAUAAACCAUAAUGAGAUUGAAAUAUAAGAUUAUACAUACAAUCCCAUAAAUAAGUUUGGAGAAAUAAAACAAACAUAUAGUAUUAACAUAUCUAUAUGUUUGAAAUAACGCUAAGGUUGAGUCUAUCAUGAGAUUACCUUCUCUACAUUCUCUUCAUUCAGCUCAAGUCCAAUUUCUUCAUCUGCUAUUGGUUCUACAACAAUUAUUUCAGUAAUCUUUUCUAUUACGCGACACUCGAUCUUCAUUGUCACAAUAGAACUUGGACAGGAGCCGUAGGAUCCUUGUAGCUUCAAAGCACAACAUUGCCAUCAAUCUCAUGUAAUGCCACAUUACCGCAUUUGCAAUGAGAUAUGGUCAAACAUCAUCCAAUACUCUCUCAACAUUCUCAGUAGUUAAUGGCAAUUACAAGGCUGAAUCUGGGGUGUCAACAGCCUUUACAACUGCACAACAGCAAAUUACCUAAUUCAACAACAAAAGCAUUUGGAACUUCACCAAAAAGAGGAUAACUGAAUCCAUAUACUAGCAACUAAAAUCAAAUAUGCAGUGGGUGAUCAGACUUGUAUAAAAAAAAUCAAUAUAAACACUAUAAAACGGAGAAUCAAAGUCAAGUCAUGCAUAACUUUAUUGAGGGUAGCAACCUUGGGUUCGAGGUAAAUUAAAGCUUCUUUUUACUAACUUAUUAAAGCAUCUUUUUAAACAAGAAUGCAUCAUACGGGAAGUGCAGAAUGCACUAUUCUGCAUUGCAGAAUAGUGUCUGAAAGAGGGAGGAUAUAUGUAUCUGUAUAUGUAUAUAUAUGUAUAUAUCUAUACAUUCACACACUCUUAUUCUUCGAUUUCCAAAUAGGAAACUUUUUUUUUUCAAGGCAUGAUAAAGCAGCAGCCAGCAGCAUAAGAUUACCUUCACCAGCUCAUCAUCAAAAGUCAGAAGAAAUUGAUUCAAAAUUUCCUCCACAUGAUCCAUCCUCAAGAAACUCCAAGGCAGGUUACCCUUAAUUCCAAUUGACCUCCCAAAAUUGACAAAUAUCUCAUCAAGUAACACAAGGUGGGGGACCUUAUAUGGGGAUCUAUAAGGUAACACAAAUAUCAUCUAAUUUAACAAAACUAACAAACUAAGAGAUUGGACAUUCCAAAUAAAGUAUGUGAAUAUAAUUUCUACCAGUAAAUUAAAAUUUGAAUAGAAGGAACUCAUAUUUGAAGCCUAAAGCAAUAACCAUCACAGCAAGACUGAUUUGGGAACACAGAAUGAACUUGGUCCAGUUUUGAACCAUCAGAGCAACCCAUAAAUAAUCUCAGAAGAACUUCAAUUCACACAAAAUUGAAUUGAGAUCCAAUUUUGGGUUAGCAAAAAUUUGGGUUACUACUAAAUGAUGAACUGAGAUCCAGAAAAUAGAGUUUUACAACUCUGAGGAAAGUGUUUUCUCCUUUUAUUCAUUUUCUUUUGUCUGCUAGUGACGUAUAACGAAAUUCCCGUCAUUGGGCCACGUGUCUCUACUAUAUAGAUAUGGACGUAGUAGAAUAUCCGAUUCCUGCUACAUGCGUAACGGCCAUUUAAUUCUCCCCUGAUACGCAUGCGGGUGGACCUACCAGUCGGACGGGCUGGCCACUUUCCCUCUUCCGAACCGGACUAGAAGAUGGGGUUAAGGCUGAGCCUAGUGGAGACAUAAUUAUUGGGCCGGAAGGCUAGGCCGACCGGAUAGAGGAAUCUCGGUGAAUUUCGGUCCUUCAGCUGAAUGAGCUGGGCCUGACUCUUGGGUGAGACUUAGAAGCCUUCAGAUUAUGGGCUGUAUUCAUAGGGCUGACCUUAGACCGGGGUGAAUUAAUCCAGCGGUCAUCACUAAACUUUUAUAAUAGUUUGGAAAAUAAGUUAGAAACAAAAGGUUUUAUUUUUAUCUUUUUACUUCUACUAACUGAUUGGAUAAUUAAUUUAUGAAAAAUAUUAAAUUGAUCUCCUACAUAUAUACUUUUCUCCAUUUCAAAUUGGUACAACUUUAAAAAAAAAAAAUACAAAUAAUUUGUGAGUUAUUUUGAUAUGUAUAAACUUUUUAAUUUCUUCCAUAAUGUAAUUAGUGAAAUCUCUUUUAGUAAAUUGUACUUCACACCAUGAGUUACCGUUAAUCGAAUUGUAAUAACUACCCCUAUUGAAACUUUCCAAUAUCAAAGUUUUAAUUAAACCCUUAUUGUACAAAGACAUCAUAACAAUCUCCUGAACAAAAUUUAAGGUUAAUUUGAGUAUUUUACUAAAAAAAUCCAUACUUGAAAGGAAAAGAUAAUUUAAGUCCACUAAAUAUAUUUAUCCAUCACGCCACGGUUACACUUUGUGUAUGACUGCAACUUGCACCCACCCUCAAAUUUUGGUAGCUUUAAAGACUUGCACUGCAAGAAAAAGGUUUUUUAGCAAAGAGAAAUCUCCUUAAGGUAACUUCCCGCCGCCAAAACCAAAUAACAGCUAAAAGUAUUCCAUCAUAUGCCGUCGCAAUAGGUUCCACCAUUAAAAGUCUAACGAGACAAGAAGAAGUAAUCGGUAGCAAUUGAGUUUUAGGAAAAUAAUAGUAUCGAUUGCUAAAACUUUAAUUUCAAUUGUAUUUUAAAGGUAAUUGCUAUGAUAAUAUCUUCACAAUUAAAAAUAAAAAUAUAUAUCGUCUAAAAAAUCCGAUUGUUAAAACAUAUCAUCUUUUGAUAGUGUUAUUAUUUACAUUAGUGGCAUUUUUUUUAAUGACAAGUUCAAUAUAAAUUUUUUUAGCUAUUCAUUCGAUUCAACAUGAUUCAUGUAUUUAUUAUAUUCAUAUAAAAUGUAAAGGAUAUAGAAGAAACUAUUAUGUAUAAUAAAAAUAUUUUUAUUUAUAACUUACAAAGUAGCUAUACAAUAUUUGAUAUUCAACAAUAUUAUCGUGUAUAAUCACUAUAAAUUAUCCUAAAAAAAUUACAAAAUAUCAACCCUAAAUAAUAAAAUGCCUAACUAUAUACAAAAAUAAAAAAUAUACAAGUAAAAUUCAUUCCAAGAACCUAAAUGAACUAUACAUCCAAGCUGAAUGGUGAGCAUAUGAUUGGCUUCAUUCAUACACCUACAUAAAUAAUAGAACAUAAAAUUUACAAUUUUUCAAAUUGAGAUAAAAUAAAUUAAAGAGAAAACAUUUAAGAGUUAUAAUUGUCAAGUAAACUAUAUGUCAAAAGACAAAUUUAAAUAUUAUAAACCAUCAAGAAUGAGAAUAACAAACUGAAAUUACCUAGCAUAAACAAGAAAAAGAAGCACAAGUCAAGAAAGAGUACAAGCAUAUGAUUUAAGACUUCAAAAACUAUAUUGUUAGCCAGGCAAACGAAGUCUGCCAGAAAUUAUAAUUUCCAGUAAUCUUCCUUUCUGGCAAUCUCUCCUCCCUUUGAUCUAAUAAAAAUAGCAAAGGCUUUAUGUAAUUUUCGGUUUAAAUUUCUAUUGCUGUUUACAUUUUUUGCUGCAAGUGUAGCAUGUGCACAGUGCACUUGUUGUGCAGCAAGCAGCAAGUGCAUUUGCUGCAAGUGCACUGUGCACUGCUGCACUUGCAGCAUUCCUGCUGUGCAAGUGCAGCAUUGCUGCUAUGCAAGUGCAGCAAGUGCACUGCUGCACUUGCAGCAUUGUUGCUGUGCAAGCUGCACAGCAGUGCACUUGCUGCAAGUGCAGCAGCAAGCACAUUCUAAAAUGAGUCAAUAUAAACCAUAAUGAGAUUGAAAUAUAAGAUUAUACAUACAAUCCCAUAAAUAAGUUUGGAGAAAUAAAACAAACAUAUAGUAUUAACAUAUCUAUAUGUUUGAAAUAACGCUAAGGUUGAGUCUAUCAUGAGAUUUCCUUCUCUGCAUUCUCUUCAUUCAGCUCAAGUCCAAUUUCUUCAUCUGCAAUUGGUUCUACAACAAUUAUUUC
rnacentral:lncRNA from 1 species